GGGUCCCGGCCUCAAGGAGUGGAACAAUCUGAUGUCUCAGUGUGUCGGAUCCUAGCUCAGCAAGUAGGUCUGAAGCCAGAACCUCGGGGUUUAAAUCUGGUCCUAUAAUACUUCUCACCAGCAGUGUGACCUGGAGUAAGUGACUCAGUUCUCUGUGCCUUAGUUUCCUCCUCUGUGACAAUAAUAGUUCCUACCUAUGGCAUUUUAGUGAGGCUGAGCUCACACAUGUAAAGUGCUAAAGAUAAUGCCUUGUACCUAGUGAGCACUCAGGAAAUGUUUGAUCAAAAAAGAUCUCAGUCCAGAUGUCAGAGGUUGGAGGAAUAUGCUCUGAGGGGUCAUGAUCAUGGCAGGAUAUACAUUCUGGAAGUGCUGGUUGAAGACACGCCAGGUCCCGGGCUCCCGUGUAGGCCCUGGGCAGGCAGGCAGGGCUGUCUUCAUGAGUGUGUCUUGUGCACAGGGCCCUGCACUUGCUUUACCGUCUUGCUCUCACCAUCUUGAAAUUCUUAAAUAAUGUUUGAACAGGCAAGGGUCCCACAUUUUUGUUUUGCACUGGGCCCCACGGAUUACGUAACUCUUCCCACACAUAGAGGUGGGUACGGCGAAGUCCUGACGUUCAGCGGCCUUGCAGGUUUGCUGGGGGUGCCGAUGGGCCAACCGUGCUUACGUCCCAGAACAACGUACACUCUGGAACGUCGGGCCUAAGCGGGGCUCCUGUGCUUCUCGGCUGGGUGGAAGCAACCAAGAAGACCUCCUUGAAGCUGCAAAGGAAACCACAGAUCGUGGCCUCGCCUCCUUCUCGCCCGUGCACCACUGCAGUAGAUUUUGUGCCCAUCUGUCCUCAAAUCUACCCCUUGGUUGGGAGGAUUGUUUUGUUGGCUCAUUUGGUGCCAGUGGGAAUCCUUUGCUUCCUUCCACCUUGGAUUUGACGUGCGAUCAAGACACGAGUGUGGGUUAUGAUCCGGGUUCCUGCGUGAGUAGCCUGUUGGUGAAGAACAUCAAGGCCCAGAGAGGUUAAACAACUUGUCUGAAGUCACAGCUGGUAAUUGGCAGGACCAAGAUUCACGCUCAGGAAUCCAGCCCUGGGGUCACCCGGGUCUUGACCACUCAUGCCUUGCCGGA